rnacentral:lncRNA from 1 species
UCCAACAUGAGCACACUCUCUUAUUACACUCUAGCUUCUCUACGCCUAUCUCAACUAUUUUUGCCCUUAUGCUCAUCAUCAAGCAUCCACACAUUCAAAUCAACCAACUCUCACAUUCAUUAAGCAUAAAACAUUAAGUGAAUUCUUGCAAAUGGUCAAUUGGUCUAAAUCAUUUGGUUGAGUUAGAGAAGGUUUUUAUUCAAGUGGGUCAAGAGGUUUAAAAUCCAUGAUCUUUUAAAGUAGUUUACUCUCAAAACAAGUAGCCUUAACAUUGCACAUAAUAUAUCUAAAAAAGGGACCAACUCAUGCAUACAAUGUUCAAUCUCCAUUGUUCUACCCUUUUCCAAAUCAUACAAAUCACACAAUCAUUUCCCAAUGUCAAACUCAACUCACAUCUCUCACCAAAAGAUCCUAAGAACUUUAACUCCUUCUCUUUGAAAUCUACAAGGGAUUUUCUACAACCUCAAAACACUUCGUAGCUCCUAACAACUUUGCUAGCCCCCUUUUUCUUUCUCUUCUCUUUUUUUUUUUCUUUUUUUUUUCUUUUUUUAUUUCGUUUUUUCUUUUUUUUAGGUGGGGGCCAAGACUUUCGUAACUUGAGCUAGAGGUUUAUCUAUUUAUCCCAAUAAGACAAUUCACUUAAACACAAAGAGUCAUUUCUUUUCCUUUUUCAUUACUCCCA